UACGUAGGGUGCAAGCGUUGUCCGGAAUUAUUGGGCGUAAAGAGCUCGUAGGCGGUUUGUCGCAUCUGCUGUGAAAACCCGAGGCUCAACCUCGGGCCUGCAGUGGGUACGGGCAGACUAGAGUGCGGUAGGGGAGAUUGGAAUUCCUGGUGUAGCGGUGGAAUGCGCAGAUAUCAGGAGGAACACCAAUGGCGAAGGCAGAUCUCUGGGCCGUAACUGACGCUGAGGAGCGAAAGCAUGGGGAGCGAAUGGG
rnacentral:rRNA from 1 species